CUGGAGUUACUAGUAAUCGCAGAUCAGAAUGCUGCGGUGAAUGCGUUCCCGGGUCUUGUACACACCGCCCGUCACACCACGGGAGUUGGAGACGCCCGAAGCCGAUUAUCUAACCUUUUGGAAGAAGGCGUCGAAGGUGGAAUCAAUAACUGGGGUGAAGUCGUAACAAGGUAGCCGUAUCGGAAGGUGCGGCUGGAUCACCUCCUUUAUAAGGAGA
rnacentral:rRNA from 1 species